rnacentral:lncRNA from 1 species
CCCCGCCCCCCACAUGGUCCCAAUAAAAUCCUUGGAGCGUGGCACCGUCCUCGUCCCUGUCCCCAUGGCCACACGUGUCACCAAACGUGUCCCCAUGGCCACACGUGUCCCAGCACGUCCCCACGUGUCCCCACGCGUCACGGCGCCGGCUGAGCUGGUCGGGCCAGUCUGCGCCCACGCUUGGGGAUGGGGACAUUGGGGACACUGGGAUGGGGACAAUGGGGAUGGGGACAACCACAAGGACAGAGGUGGGGACACUGGGGAUGGGGACAAUCACAAGGACAGAGGGAUCAGUACGGACCCAUAGGAACCAGUUGGGGACCCAUGGAGACCAGUAUGGAACCAUAAGGAAUGUGCUCCCAGUGCUCCCAGUGCGCCCGGCAGCACCCAUGGGUGCCCCCAGGACCGUCGGCGUCCUGCUCGUCCUGCUCGCCCUGCUCCGUCCCCACGGGAUCGGUGUCACCGCCCGCACUCUGCCCGUCCCUGUCACCGUCCCCGUCCCCACCACCGCCCCCGUCCCCGUCACCGUGCCCAGCCCCGUCCCCGACAUCGUCCCCACGGCCACCGCCGUCCCCACGGCCGCCACCGUCCCCGACCCCGUGGAGGAAGUGGAGGAGGAGAUGGAGGAGGAGGAGGAGGAUGAAGGCCACGCGCUGUCCCCCCUGGAGCUCCUCUCCCGACGCCGCGACCCCGAUGUCCCCGAAUCCCUCCUGGAGAUUGUCCCCGAGCUGCGUGACCUCCUGUCCCCGUCCUCGUCACCGUCACCGCCGUCGUCACCCGCUGGGGGUCCCCAGCUGCCCCUCCUGGCGGGCGCUGUCCCCUGCGUCGCCCCCCGGGACCCCUAAAUUGGGGGGUGGUCACCGGUCCGGUGUCACCGCUGUCACCCUGAUGCCACCGUUGUCACCCGCAGUGUCAUUGUUGUCACCCUAGUGGCAUUGUUGUCACCCGUUAGUGUCACUGUUGUCAUCUCGAUGUCACUGUUGUCACCCGCAGUGUCAUUGUUGCCACCCUAGUGGCAUUGUUGUCACCCGUUGGUGUCACUGUUGUCACCCUGAUGUCACCGUUGUCACUCGCAGUGUCACUGUUGUCACCCUAGUGGCAUUGUUGUCACCCGCUGGUGUCACUGUUGUCACCUCAAUGUCAUCAUUGUCACCCUAGUGGCAUUGUUGUCACCCACUGGUGUCAUUGUUGUCACCCUGAUGCCACCGUUGUCACCUGCAGUGUCAUUGUUGCCACCCUAGUGAUAUUGUUGUCACCCGUUGGUGUCACUGUUGUCACCUCAGUGUCACUGUUGUCACCCGCAGUGUCAUUGUUGUCACC